rnacentral:lncRNA from 13 species
CCAGGUUCUAGAACAUCUGCGGAUUGUGAAGAAGGUGGAGGCUUGGAUUCACAAUCACUGGGUAGUGUUCUAUCCACCCCCCACCAACCCAGUCUCCAGGCAUCUGCCCUGAUGGCCUCCAGGGCCCCCUCUGUGACUGCAGAAAUGGCGGCCUGCUCUCCAGGUCAGACCAGUUCCCGAGAGCCCCGAGGUCCGGCUGUCAUUCCAUGAGUGCCCAGCUCCGGAGCUGCCACCUCAGGCCUCUGGAAGUUUGCAGCCUGAGCGGCCGUCUUCAGACCACGGCGCCUGAGUGCGCAAGAGGCUCCGGGCCUUUCCACGCCUCCCAGAGCCAGGGAACAGCAGGGGCCAAGAGCAGCCUGUGGCUCCCCUGUGGCAAGGACAGCCGAUUGAGGCCAAGGGCAGGCCUGAGAGAUCACACACCUAUUUUCUUUGCCUAAAACGUUUCAUUUAACCCUGACUUAAAAGGGUGUUCGGGGAGCAUCUUGCUGGAAAUCCCAAAUAUAAUGAAAGAAUCCACAACAGAGGCAAACAGAGGCCUGUUCCCAGCUGCAUCCUGGGGAGGUAGCAAGACAGCACCCCUUUGCCCAGCUCAGCAAAGGGCCAGGGCAGCAGAGGUGGCUGUGCGCAGGGUGAGGCAGCAAGGGUGGGAGCUUCCAGAACUUCAGGGAAGGCAGCAAAAGAGUGAGAGUUUGAGGACAGAGGUUUGUACCAACCACACUAUCAUCUCCCUUCUCUGCCUCUCUGCCCAUCAUGCAGCUGUGAGGACUGCAGCCCAGGAAGAAAUUGUUCAACUUUAA